AAUUUCCAAGGAAAGAGGGGAGAAAAGUCACCUCUUGGUAAUAAAAUAUGUAAAGAAGAUGAGUUAAGAUUAGUGUGAAACUUAGCCACAUGCAUAAAUACUGCAUGCAGGAUUUGGGCUCUGUGAAGGUGGAGCCACCCUCAGAAAGCCAAGAGAGGUGCCAUGCUACAGCUUAGCCUGAAAAAAAGGAAGGCAGAAAGAGAGGAAGUAGCAGUCAAGCACCUUAUCAUGCAAGGCUUGAUUCUCAAAAUGCAUUACCAGGAACAGCAGCCUCACCAUCAUCUUCCAGCUUACUAGAAAUGCUCAGGACGCUUCAGAACUAAAGAGAAGAGCCUGCAUUUUACCAAGCCCCUGAAGUGAGCUCAUGUGCACAUUAAAGUUCGAGAAGCCCUGCCAGAGGGAGCUGUUGUAGAUAAGACAUGUUUCAGAAGGUUGUCUGGGGCUGUGAAAGGCCCGUUUCUCUUCAUCGGCUGCUUGGUGACUGCACGCUUAGUCAGGAGGCGCGGAAGCCCCAGUAGAAGACCUUUCCUCAGCCUGGAAGCCAGGCGCUCAGGGACUCCCGGGAAGGUGCCAGCGCCCUGACUCUCCCCUCUUCAGGGAUGCCAGACAAUUCCUUCAGCUCACAUGACUUCAUCAGCCAAGUUCUUGUCACCUCACACAGUGAAUUAAACUCAUAGUCUCUUUAUUUAGAUUACCCAAAGGAGUUUUCA
ensembl:lncRNA